AGUCAACAUGCCCAGGGGACGUGGAUAACCUCGGGAAACUGAGGAUAAACCGCGAUAGGUCAUAAUGUCUGGAAUGAUUUAUGGCUGAAAUCUAUAUGGCCUCUGGAUUGGACUGCGGCCGAUCAGGCUGUUGGUGAGGUAAUGGCCCACCAAACCUAAAACCGGUACGGGCUCUGAGAGGAGAAGCCCGGAGAUGGGCACUGAGACAAGGGCCCAGGCCCUAUGGGGCGCAGCAGGCGCGAAAACUCUGCAAUAGGCGAAAGCUUGACAGGGUUAUUCUGAGUGAUUUCCGCUAAGGAGAUCUUUUGGCACCUCUAAAAAUGGUGCAGAAUAAGGGGUGGGCAAGCCUGGUGUCAGCCGCCGCGGUAAUACCAGCACCCCGAGUGGUCGGGACGAUUAUUGGGCCUAAAGCAUCCGUAGCCGGUUCUACAAGUCUUCCGUUAAAUCCACCUGCUUAACAGUUGGGCUGCAGAGGAUACUAUAGAGCUAGGAGGCGGGAGAGGCAAGCGGUACUUAGUGGGUAGGGGUAAAAUCCGUUGAUCCACUGAAGACCACCAGUGGCGAAGGCGGCUUGCCAGAACGCGCUCGACGGUGAGGGAUGAAAGCUGGGGGAGCAAACCGGAUUAGAUACCCGGGUAGUCCUAGCUGUAAACGAUGCAGACUCGGUGAUGAAUAAGCUUCGUGCUUAUUCAGUGCCGCAGGGAAGCCGUUAAGUCUGCCGCCUGGGGAGUACGGUCGCAAGACUGAAACUUAA
rnacentral:rRNA from 1 species